AAAAAAAUGUAUGUAGCCGGAACAAAAUAUCAAAAUAUCUCAAGAACCGCAACAAAUACGGUAAUAUCCUCGCAGAUGGUUAUACUACGAAUUAUUUGUGAUUUUUUGGCAUACUACAUAUAUCCGUCACGGGUGCGAUAUUUUGAUAUUUUGUUCCGGCUCCAUACAUAAAAAAAAAUCAUAACUACUAUUUUCAAUUCAAAUCGUCUGAAACUUAUAACUUAGCAUAAACACACU